CGCAGAAACGGCGCGUCUCAUCAGUGCGCCGUUUGCCGCAUUUGAUUUCAGACACACGCGGAAUAUCUACGGACACAAAAAUAUUCAUCGACAGAAAAGGUCACAGAAUCAUCGCCGCGGUCGUAAAGCCCAGCAACCUGUCAAGGCUGAGGGCCUCUGGCUGCUCUUUCAGACGAAGCCUGAGUAUCAGUCGACAGAAGGAACAAAACAUGUACAGUACGUACAGCGGCCGUGUUUGCUGAUAGGAUCUGCCAGCCGUCACGAGCCGUGGCAGAUCACCGCGAAGAAUGGAGGAGGCUCGCC
ensembl:lncRNA